rnacentral:rRNA from 1 species
GGGGGGCGGGGGGGGGGGGCUGGGGGGGUGCGAGUCGGGCGGGGAGGCGCUGCGUUGGGGGGGUGCUGGGGGGGCGAGCGGGGGCGUGGCACGGGAGUAACCUGCCCUUGACUUUGGGAUAACUUCAGGAAACUGGGGCUAAUACCGGAUCGGAGCUCCUGCUGCAUGGUGGGGGUUGGAAAGUUUCGGCGGUUGGGGAUGGACUCGCGGCUUAUCAGCUUGUUGGUGGGGUAGUGGCUUACCAAGGCUUUGACGGGUAGCCGGCCUGAGAGGGUGACCGGCCACAUUGGGACUGAGAUACGGCCCAGACUCCUACGGGAGGCAGAAGUGGGGAAUAUUGCACAAUGGGCGGAAGCCUGAUGCAGCAACGCCGCGUGCGGGAUGACGGCCUUCGGGUUGUAAACCGCUUUCGCCUGUGACGAAGCGUGAGUGACGGUAAUGGGUAAAGAAGCACCGGCUAACUACGUG